CGAAGAAGAAGAACUUCAACAGGGGGUCUACAACAACUUUGUACGUGUCGCUCCUAUCACGUAUGCAAUGAUGGCGCACUUAAACAUCAAUGAGAAGAGAUUUCCCGUACCAGGAACAUCCGGAGAAGCAGAUCAACUUCAAACUCGGACGUGAUCAUGAGUCAGCCUUAGUUGAGCAACGACGUCAGACGAUCAUUCAGGGAAUUUCAGCGGAAACUAGAAUUCUGCAAACACACAUCGAAAACUUCGACUAUUGCUGAGAUCGUAUAUUUUCUGCGAACAUCCUGACUUGAAAACAACAAAACAUAUUAAACCACCAGGUAAGACGUGGAUCAGGCAGCCUUUGUUUCCGGCUACUUGCUGGCCACAUCAGAGAUCCUACGGCUGCCAUGGUGUGGAAGAUUGAUUGGGUGAUGUACGAGUGCCUGGUUAGCGUGAGGAUCAAGCCCAUCCUCGCAAUCCGAGGUAUAUCAUCAUUCCACGUCACGUUGUCCAAUCGACAGCACCGCCAUCUUGGAGGUUAAGGAAAGUCAAACUAUUGGCUAAGAACGACGCACGAUGCGAGUUGUCGAACUUCUCUGUCCCUUCAGCUAAGAACGAAGAAAAUUCUACGCGUUCGGCAAGUAUUGAAUUUGGGCAGCCACGUCAUGACACAAAAUAGAAUGAAAGAGGAACUUGCCAAGUGAAAUACUUCGGGAAAAUCAGAGAGCAAAAAAACCAGAGACUACAAAUUCCCCAUCUCUCCAAUUAAAACUGGUUCUUCCCAGACGGUAUGUCAGCUAUAGGUAAUUACUGCGAAGGUCUGAUGGUAAUCUACUCAACAUCCUACAUCGAAGAAUCUAAUGUACCUAUCUACCUACUAUGAGUGACCUCAGAAAGAUCUGCGCACAGACUGCUGGCAGACUGAUCAGAUCGCUACUUCGCUGACUCUAUUCAUUUGCGGACUAAUUUAAUCAAAACACAGGAUUACAUCAGCCUUCACACCAAAUCAGCGCAGCAUAACGAGCGAUUGCCUGAUUGGCGCAUUUGGAAACCAGUCCUAGCUUCCCGAAUCCUAGAAAAGCUUCGCCCCACGGAGUCCGAGCGCCGGAAGUUAUGGAGUGUCACAGCUAAACUAAUGACGUCACGUAAUGAGCAGAAAUAAGUUUCCUGGAUACCUCGACCAAACUUCCGUAAGAUAUAGGAAUCGAACAUACACACUGCAUAUAAUGCCGGACCGUUCGCUGGUAUAGGAUAAUCGCAUUCCUCUAGCCAGCAAUACGUCUGUUGCCCGGAACUCACACAGAGUUCAUGGAAUUUCCAUUAAAUUCUAACGAUGAUGGCCGACGUAUUGCAUGCUUGCAGAUGAUUUAGAGCUCUUCGACCACACACACACAUACACACAUUAAUCGCAAAAGGAAAGUCGAACUGAAAGGAAUUGCUGCGACAUUAGAAGACAGAAGGCUUAUAACAGUGGAUAUAAAAAUGAACUUAAAAUAUUCUGAAACGGAAGACUAACAAUUAUGAACAUUGCUUUGUGUUUAUAUCUCAAUCUGAAUGAUUAACAUAAUGAAUAUAAGUAUCUCACUGAUCGAAAAUUGAUCUGUAAAGUUGAGGAUUAUUUCUUUUUACACCAAAGUUCAUUGCGCAAGUUCCAUGCAAGUGGAGCUGAGAUCAGUAAUUUUGAUAGAUUGACGGAAGUGGGAAUUUUUUACCCUGCUAUGAGUUUCUAUUUUUGAAGAAAUGAUAAGUUUAUGAGAUAUAUUUUUUUGAUUUAAGAUUAAUGGUAUAUUUAUGAGAUGAUAUUGAUUUUAUUUGUUAUUGACUUGGUCAUAAAAAAAUUGUAUUUCUGUUUCGUUGAAAGAUGUGAAUUCAAUAAAUGAUUGCAUCCCGUAUUAGGUGAUAAUAUUGAUAGUGUUUGUUAUAAGCUUUAUCCCGUAGAUACUGUAAUUCCAUUUGUAAGUUUGUUCUUCCGAAUCGUUACAAGAUGUAAAUACAAUGAACGGUUACACCUUACCAUGUGAUGCUAUUGAUAGAAUUUGAUGUAAGAUUUAUGCUAUAAACAUUGUAAAAUAAUACUAUCGUAUUACAAAAUCCACGUAUACUAAGAAUAUGUACGAUGAUUAAAUUUAGAAAUAACUGUGAUAUUUCGUUGAGCUGAAUAGUAGAAAUAAAAAUAAGUACGUUGACCUUGGGUCAAUUUCAAACAUAGAUAAGUU